AAAAAAAAAAAAAACUUCCUUUGUCUCUAUACAUAAAAAUAAAAGUGCUUAAGAAAGAAUGCCACCACUUAAUAGUGUUGAUGACAGCAAUUACAUUUACAUUAACCGAUAAUUUGGACAUCUCUAGCAUUAAUAGCUGAUAUUUACACCUAAAGCAUACAAAGAAAUAUAAUCCAUUUUAAUGAAUAAGACCCAUACUUAAUUUAGUAAAACUUUAAAAAAGAUUGUUAAACACAUUUUCAAAUCCAUUUACUCUUCAUGACUGAUGUAACAAUGGUUUUUCGCCAUCAAAACAAUGGGCUUUUCAAAUGACUUAGGAACAUGCUGUUAUACAGCUGAGUCGUGUCUUGAAUUCCAAGUCAGUUAACCACUGCACAUUUCACUUUAUACUGUAGUAGUUAAAAUCUAACAAACUCUUGGUGAUUUUUCUGUUUCUGAUAAUAGCCUAUUGGUAAAUAUAUUUUUAAUGCAUAUAUAUUUUUAAUAUUUUAUUAUUUCCUAUCUUUUAUAUUAACAGUUACAAAACAUAAAUAAAAAACAUGUUCACACUGCUAUAAAGGACUGUACCACAUCACAAUAAAUUAUGUCGUCUUUUAAAACAGACUAAAUAAAUAAAUACAUGCCUCAGGUUGCUGCUUUUAUUUCAAAGGCAUUUUAUGUACUUUAAAGGCUUACAUUUAUGUAAGUUGCUAUUUAAAUGUGAAAAUGUACAAAUCCUGAUAUUAACAAUGCCUCUUAUUUAAACAAAUCCAUGUUUUGUGUACCAAACUUCUUACACACACACACACACACACACACACAUAUAUACAUUACCUAGAACAUAUUUAUUCAACUUAUGUUCACUCAUUUCCAUUGCACAUUAAUAAUCGACUGCAAUGAUAUCUAUAAAUCGAUACUUUUACAUCAUCGAGUAUUUUGCUAAGAAAAAAACUUCAUAACACCACCUAGACAGCACACAUACAUUACGUGAACUCUAAUAUUACUGUUUCACCCCUGAUAUCCACUGCACAUGUCUGCGGCGCUUCACGGCUCCAACGCGGCUACCUGAGCUGAUGGAGACCAUUCUAGCCCACUUCGCUAUAAAUAGGCUCUAAGUCAAGUUUCAAGUCAAGUCAAGUUUAUUUAUAUAUAGCCCUUUAAAACAACAUAAAUGCUGACCAAAGUGCUGCACAACAUACCAAACAAAACAUCCAUUGUGCAAUACAAUUUAAAGACCAAUAAUAAAAUAUGAAAAGAAAGCAAAACAAAAAUAAUACAAUUAAGACCGGAAACAUCAUGCAAUUUAAAACAAUAUUUAAGACUAAAAAAAUAAUAUUAAUUUAAUAAUUAAUAUCAAAUUGCACAUAUGCCUGAGAAAAAAAAUAAGUUUUCUAAUCUAGUCUUUUUUGACACACGCAGCGUCAGAACUGCACAGUAAAUACAAAAUAGAAGUCACGUACAUUUCAAAUUAAACACACUGUGCAAUCUCUCAAUCUAUUUCAUAUUACUAUAUUUUUGCUAGAAGACCACAAAUGGAUGACAAGAGGUUCAUUCACAAAUUUGAAAACCUCACAAUAUUAGACCAUAUGGCACCACAGAUCCAUUUUUCAAGGACAAUUAAAAAAGUAUUGUGGAGUUUAAUUGCAUGAGUUGUAGGAGUGGAAUAAACUGAAUUAAACAUGACAAAACAUUAACAUUCAGCCAACCAUGUUAGAACACACAAAAAUCAAGAAAAAAAAUGUUGAACCAGACUGUGUUGGACAGUCAAAUCACGUGGUCUUGCGAAUCCUACCACUGCGCUUCUGAUCCGCUUCUGGUGUGAGUUGACAAUGUGUGGAGAACAAAAAAAAACCUAAUCGGAGCUAUAACACACCCCAGACAUGUGCCGUGGAAAUCAGAGGACAUACUUCCUCUGCAGAACGUAUGCGUUGCGUAUUUUUUUUUACGCACCCAUGUUAACGGCCUUCACACUGCACGCGGUUGCGGCCCUUCAGUGAGUUUCAGGAGCGGUGCAUCUGCUGCAGUGCAGCUACAUACCGAGUCUAUUUUUGCUGUGCUGCACGCACUGAAUUAAAGUGACACUGAAUUUUUCACGGUAAAAAUCAACAUGGAUUGACACGGAAAUGCAGUAAUUUCACAAUAAAUGUAUACUUAUUAAAUCCACUGUGUUUCACACGCAACACAUGAGAUUAUUGGCUAGGUUUAAAACAAGAAAAGGAGUUCGUUUAGAUAAAGAAGGCAACAUAAUAUAUACACUUUAAUGGAAGCAAAAUAAAUAAAUAAGUACAUUAAGACCCGUGGGAUCGCUUGUAAUAAAUAUUUAAAUGCAAAAGGCGAGAGUUGACUGUUUCCCUGUUUUAAUAUUUAAAUAUUUGCGAUAUCCUAACAAGAAAAGUAGCCUAUUUGUUGUUUUUAAAUGUUUUGCCGCUUGCUUAAGCAGAUGCGUUUUCUUAAAGACAAAUUUUCAGUUGGCAUACACUAAAAUAUUGAAUUGCAUAUUACGUUGAAAAAUUAUAACAAUUAAGUUGAAAAAAUCUAGAAUUCUUACACUUCACAAAACAUAAUGUCCCUUAAAAUAAAUUCAAAUAAAUAUAACUAUGUAGCACAGAAUAUAAUACUGUGCUUGACAAUGUCUUCAUCUUCACCAUCUACAAACAAAACCUGUGACGCAACACAUAUUCGUCCUUUUCAUUGGCUCUAUUUCUUAGUAAGCCUACCUUGUUCCAAUUUGCAUACUGUACCCAAUUUAUAGCACCUCUCACAAAGACAACUUAUUCAUUCUACAAGCAACAUCGUCUCAAGAAAAACCUUUACCAACCACUUAUCAAGAUUAUGGCUUCCUACACCUCACCAUCAAAAAUACCCAAAAAACACCACCCUGAGACUGAAUCAAUUCAUGACCGCCUUCAACUGAUUGCUUACAAAUGCCAAGAUCCAUCUGUCAACCCCAUCGAAACUGCACAGCAACUUUGUAAUCUAGGCACUGAAAUCAUGAAAAUCAUGUCACGCUGGCACAACCAAAACAAGGCUCUCCAGCAAUGUGUCACUACACUUCGUUCAGAGCUACAAGACACAAAAAAAAACUCUCAGAAGCCCUAACUUCUGCAGAAAUCAAUGCUGCUGCCCAAUGCUUUUUCAAAGAUGAACAAUGUGACAUGUCCACACAGACGGAGCAUGCCCCUUCAACACUAGCUGAACACUUACCUGAGAAUAACAGCAAACUAGAAAUACAAGUUGCAACAAAGUCUUCUCCAAAACCAAAUAAAGAUCUACAGAAUGCUUAACCAUACACUCAUUAUAUUGUGUCUACACUUUUAAUGCUUCACUGUAUUUUACUUUUGAAACUACACAUUUUUAUCCAUCCAUUUACUCUUAAACCACAUUAUUUUCUUUUAGCUCUUCUUUAUAAAACUUUUUAAAAUACAAUUCAACAUACUAUAUGCAUA